UAGGGAAUCUUCCGCAAUGGACGCAAGUCUGACGGAGCAACGCCGCGUGAGUGAAGAAGGAUUUCGGUUCGUAAAACUCUGUUGUUAGAGAAGAACAGCGCAUAGAGUAACUGUUAUGCGUGUGACGGUAUCUAACCAGAAAGCCACGGCUAACUACGUGCCAGCAGCCGCGGUAAUACGUAGGUCCCGAGCGUUGUCCGGAUUUAUUGGGCGUAAAGCGAGCGCAGGCGGUUAGAUAAGUCUGAAGUUAAAGGCAGUGGCUCAACCAUUGUAGGCUUUGGGAACUGUUUGACUUGAGUGCAGAGGGGGAGAGUGGAAUUCCAUGUGUAGCGGUGAAAUGCGUAGAUAUAUGGAGGAACACCGGUGGCGAAAGCGGCUCUCUGGUCUAUAACUGACGCUGAGGCUCGAAAGCGUGGGGAGCGAACAGG
rnacentral:rRNA from 1 species